AACGAACGCUGGCGGCAUGCCUAACACAUGCAAGUCGAACGAAACCUUCGGGUCUAGUGGCGCCCGGGUGCGUAACGCGUGGGAAUCUGCCCUUGGGUUCGGAAUACCAGUUGGAAACGACUGCUAAUACCGGAUGAUGACGUAAGUCCAAAGAUUUAUUGCCCAAGGAUGAGCCCGCGUAGGAUUAGCUAGUUGGUGAGGUAAAGGCUCACCAAGGCGACGAUCCUUAGCUGGUCUGAGAGGAUGAUCAGCCACACUGGGACUGAGACACGGCCCAGACUCCUACGGGAGGCAGCAGUGGGGAAUAUUGGACAAUGGGCGAAAGCCUGAUCCAGCAAGGCCGCGUGAGUGAUGAAGGCCUUAGGGAUGUAAAGCUCUUUUACCCGGGAUGAUAAUGACGGUACCGGGAGAAUAAGCACCGGCUAACUCCGUG
rnacentral:rRNA from 1 species